GAUGAACGCUGGCGGCGUGCCUAAUACAUGCAAGUCGAGCGAACAGAUGAGGAGCUUGCUCUUCUGACGUUAGCGGCGGACGGGUGAGUAACAGGUGGAUAACCUACCUAUAAGACUGGGAUAACCUCGGGAAACCGGAUCUAAAACCGGAUAAAAUAUUGAAUCGCAUGGUUCCAUAGUGAAAGACGGUGUUGCAGACACUGAUAGAUGGAUCCGCGCCGCAUUAGCUAGUUGGGAAGGUAACGGGUUAACAAGGCAACGAUGCGUAGCCGACCUGAAAGGGUGGUCGGCCACACUGGCAGUGAGACACGGUCCAGACUCCUACGGGAGGCCGCAGUCGGGAAUCUUCCGCGAUGGGCGAGAGCGUGACGGAGCAACGCCGCGUGAGUGAUGAAGGUCUUCGGAUCGUAAAACUCUGUUAUUAGGGAAGAACAAAUGUGUAAGUAACUAUGCACGUCUUGACGGUACCUAAUCAGAAAGCCACGGCUAACUACGUG
rnacentral:rRNA from 1 species